rnacentral:rRNA from 1 species
GAUGAACGCUGGCGGCGUGCCUAAUACAUGCAAGUCGAGCGAACGGACGAGAAGCUUGCUUCUCUGAUGUUAGCGGCGGACGGGUGAGUAACACGUGGAUAACCUACCUAUAAGACUGGUAUAACUUCGGGAAACCGGAGCUAAUACCGGAUAAUAUUUUGAACCGCAUGGUUCAAAAGUGAAAGACGGUCUUGGUGUCACUUCUAGAUGGAUCCGCGCUGCAUUAGCUAGUUGGUAAGGUAACGGCUUACCAAGGCAACGAUGCAUAGCCGACCUGAGAGGGUGAUCGGCGACACUGGAACUGAGACACGGUCCAGACUCCUACGGGAGGCAGCAGUAGGGAAUCGUCCGCAGUGGGCGAAAGCCUGACGGAGCAACGGCGAGUGAGUGAUGAAGGUCUUCGGAUCGUAAAACUCUGUUAUUAGGGAAGAACAGAUGUGUAAGUAACUGUGCACAUCUUGACGGUACCGAAUCAGAAAGCCACGGCUAACUACGUG